GUUCCUGUAGUUAAAUGGAAGUUAACAGCGAUUUUUCAUGUCGCAGAUCUUGGAUAAAGGCCGAGCAGGAACU
rnacentral:tRNA from 1 species